UACAGAGGUCCCAAGCGUUGUUCGGAUUCACUGGGCGUAAAGGGUGCGUAGGCGGUCGGGUAAGUCUGAUGUGAAAUCUCCAAGCCUAACUUGGAAACUGCGUUGGAUACUAUCCGGCUCGAGGAAUGGAGGGGAGACUGGAAUACUUGGUGUAGCAGUGAAAUGCGUAGAUAUCAAGUGGAACACCAGUGGCGAAGGCGAGUCUCUGGACAUUUCCUGACGCUGAGGCACGAAAGCCAGGGGAGCAAACGGG
rnacentral:rRNA from 1 species